rnacentral:rRNA from 1 species
UACGUAGGGGGCAAGCGUUGUCCGGAAUCAUUGGGCGUAAAGCGCGUGUAGGCGGUUCGGUAAGUCGGCUGUGAAAGUCCAGGGCUCAACCCUGGGAUGCCGGUCGAUACUGCCGGACUAGAGUUCGGAAGAGGCGAGUGGAAUUCCCGGUGUAGCGGUGAAAUGCGCAGAUAUCGGGAGGAACACCAAUGGCGAAGGCAGCUCGCUGGGACGUUACUGACGCUGAGACGCGAAAGCGUGGGGAGCAAACAGGAUUAGAAACCC